rnacentral:rRNA from 1 species
UACCACAUCCAAGGAAGGCAGCAGGCACGCAAAUUACCCACUCCCGGCACGGGGAGGUAGUGACAAAAAAUAACGAUACGGGACUCUAUUGAGGCCCCGUAAUCGGAAUGAGUACACUUUAAAUCCUUUAACAAGGAUCCAUUGGAGGGCAAGUCUGGUGCCAGCAGCCGCGGUAAUUCCAGCUCCAAUAGCGUAUAUUAAAGUUGUUGCGGUUAAAAAGCUCGUAGUUGGUUCUGCGUGCCACGCUGUCGGUUCGCCGCCUGUCGGUGUAACUGGCAUGUCGUGGCAUGUCCUGUCGGUGGUGAACGGGAUCCCUGGUACGACGUAGGCUUUUAUAGCUGAAAUCUGUACCGUGUGUGUUUCCGUUUGCCGAUCUCUCCUACUCCGGUGCUCUUAAACGAGUGUCGAGGUAGGCCGACACGUUCACUUUGAACAAAUUAGAGUGCUUAAAGCAGGCUAAAAUAUCUGCCUGAAUAGUGGUGCAUGGAAUGAUAAAACAGGACCUCAGUUCUAUUUUGUUGGUUUUAGGAAUAUGAGGUAAUGAUCAAUGUGGACUGGCGGGGGCAUUCGUAUUGCGACGUUAGACUUGGCAAAUGCUUUCGCGGUGAAAUUCUUGGAUCGUCGCAAGACGCACUAGAGCGAAAGCAUUUGCCAAGUAUGUCUUAAUUGAUCAAGAACGAAAGUUAGAGGUUCGAAGGCGAUCAGAUACCGCCCUAGUUCUAACCAUAAACGAUGCCAGCCAGCGAUCCGCCGAUGUUCCUUUAAUGACUCGGCGGGGAGCUUCUACUCGGGAAACCAAAGCUUUUGGGUUCCGGGGGAAGUAUGGUUGCAAAGCUGAAACUUAAAGGAAUUGACGGAAGGGCACCACCAGGAGUGGAGCCUGCGGCUUAAUUUGACUCAACACGGGAAACCUCACCAGGCCAGGACAUUGGAAGGAUUGACAGAUUGAUAGCUCUUUCUUGAUUCAGUGGGUAGUGGUGCAUGGCCGUUCUUAGUUGGUGGAUCGAUUUGUCUGGUUAAUUCCGAUAACGAACGAGACUCUAGCCUAUUAACUAGACGAUCCCGGUAUCAAUGCUACCGGCGAUACUUAUUCUUCUUAAAGGGACAGGCGGCUUACAGCCGCACAAGAUUGAGCAAUAACAGGUCUGUGAUGCCCUUAGAUGUCCUGGGCCGCACGCGCGCUACACUGAAGGAAUCAGCGUGUUCUCCCCUGGCCGAAAGGCCCGGGUAACCCGCUGAACCUCCUUCGUGCUAGGAAUUGGGGCUUGCAAUUGUUCCCCAUGAACGAGGAAUUCCCAGUAAGCGCGAGUCAUAAGCUCGCGUUGAUUACGUCCCUGCCCUUUGUACACACCGCCCGUCGCUACUACCGAUUGAAUGAUUUAGUGAGGUCUUCGGACCGGCGGUAAGCUUUAUCAACUUGUUGGUAUUGAUGUACGCUGGAAAGAUGACCAAACUUGAUCAUUUAGAGGAAGUAAAAGUCGUAACAAGGUUUCC